UACGAAGGGGGCUAGCGUUGUUCGGAUUUACUGGGCGUAAAGCGCACGUAGGCGGAUUGUUAAGUCAGGGGGUGAAAUCCCCGGAGCUCAACUCCGGAACUGCCUUUGAUACUGGCAAUCUUGAGGCUGGAAGAGGUUAGUGGAAUUCCCAGUGUAGAGGUGAAAUUCGUAGAUAUUGGGAAGAACACCAGUGGCGAAGGCGGCUAACUGGUCCAGAAUCUGACGCUGAGGUGCGAAAGCGUGGGGAACAAACAGG
rnacentral:rRNA from 1 species